GACGAACGCUGGCGGCGUGCUUAACACAUGCAAGUCGAACGGAAAGGCCCUGCUUUUGUGGGGUGCUCGAGUGGCGAACGGGUGAGUAACACGUGAGUAACCUGCCCUUGACUUUGGGAUAACUUCAGGAAACUGGGGCUAAUACCGGAUAGGAGCUCCUGCUGCAUGGUGGGGGUUGGAAAGUUUCGGCGGUUGGGGAUGGACUCGCGGCUUAUCAGCUUGUUGGUGGGGUAGUGGCUUACCAAGGCUUUGACGGGUAGCCGGCCUGAGAGGGUGACCGGCCACAUUGGGACUGAGAUACGGCCCAGACUCCUACGGGAGGCAGCAGUGGGGAAUAUUGCACAAUAGGCGGAAGCCUGAUGCAGCAACGCCGCGUGCGGGAUGACGGCCUUCGUGUUGUAAACCGCUUUCGCCUGUGACGAAGCGUGAGUGACGGUAAUGGGUAAAGAAGCACCGGCUAACUACGUG
rnacentral:rRNA from 1 species